rnacentral:lncRNA from 1 species
CCAAUCUAUAGCGUCCACACAGAGAACUUCGGGCAGCACCGGGACCCUCCGGGCACUAUCUGCUCAGGGGCCUGCUUGGCUGCGCGUGCAGCCGGGAGGAAGGAGGGAGUGGCCAGGGCGGGAGCGCGGGAGAGAGGCGGGGUCUGCGAGGGGCUGAGGCAGUGGGUGGGGCCAGGCGGAAAAAUGUCACCUUAAACUGCAUUUCCGGUCCUCACUGGAGGCCUGAGCUCCGCGGCACCAGCACGGCUGCCCGUAGCCCUGCACUGGUGGGGCUAGCCCCCGGAGCAGAGUUGGCGACCUUGCUACGACCUUGCUACGAGGGACGCGCCCAGCCUGGCAAGAGCCACUGCACAAUCCUGAGGCGACGGGAGGAAGUCGGCUGGGGGCGAGGCCGGCGAGACCCAGACCUCGGGUUUGAGCAGCAGCCUGCAAGAGACUUUGCGCCUUCUGGGUUCAGUAGUAGAGUUUCCAUACUUCCACUUCCUAAUCUGCAACAACAAAAAAAGGAUCAGCCAAGAACCUAUCAUUCCAAUUUCAUUCAGUCCUGGGUUGUGAUACCCAUGAUAAGAAUCUAUCAGGGCCAAGAUCCGUUUUCCCAGAUGUGAGAAUUGACCAUCCCAGUAACCAAGGUAAGUGUGGAAAGCAAGUUUUAUUUAAAAUAUAGAACAGAGAUA